rnacentral:rRNA from 1 species
AUUGAACGCUGGCGGCAUGCCUUACACAUGCAAGUCGAACGGCAGCACGGGAGCAAUCCUGGUGGCGAGCGGCGAACGGGUGAGUAAAGUAUCGGAACGUGCCCAGUCGUGGGGGGUAACGUAGCGAAAGUUACGCUAAUACCGCAUACGAUCUAUGGAUGAAAGCGGGGGAUCGCAAGACCUCGCGCGAUUGGAGCGGCCGAUAUCAGAUUAGGUAGUUGGUGGGGUAAAGGCCCACCAAGCCGACGAUCUGUAGCUGGUCUGAGAGGACGACCAGCCACACUGGGACUGGGAGACGGCCCAGACUCCGACGGGAGGCAGCAGUGGGGAAUUUUGGACAAUGGGCGAAAGCCUGAUCCAGCCAUGCCGCGUGCAGGAUGAAGGCCUUCGGGUUGUAAACUGCUUUUGUACGGAACGAAAAGGACUGCCCUAAUACGGUGGUCCCAUGACGGUACCGUAAGAAUAAGCACCGGCUAACUACGUGCCAGCCGCCGCCGUAAGAC